AUACGGAGGGGGCUAGCGUUGUUCGGAUUUACUGGGCGUAAAGCGCACGUAGGCGGUUUAUCAAGUUAGGCGUGAAAGCCCCGGGCUCAACCCGGGAACUGCGCUUAUUACUGAUAGACUAGAGAGCGGGAGAGGGUAGCGGAAUUCCCAGUGUAGAGGUGAAAUUCGUAGAUAUUGGGAAGAACACCAGUUGCGAAGGCGGCUACCUGGACCGGUACUGACGCUGAGGUGCGAAAGCGUGGGGAGCAAACAGGAUUAGAUACCCGGGUAGUCC
rnacentral:rRNA from 1 species